AAAUUGUGUUCUGAAGACGACCUGAGCUUUUACGGGUUGAACAACAUGGGGGUAAUGAUUAAUGACAAAAUUUUUCAUUUUGGGGUUGGAGUAUCCCUUUAAAAAAUCCAACCACAGUGUAUGAGAAAAACAACAAUGCCUCUCAGAGAGUCAUUUGAACAAGUCUACUUUUUUUUUUCUUUCUUUUUUUACUAGAUUGUUUCAAAGCAGCUUUACAGACAUAACAGGAAAAUGUUGUAAUAAUAUAGUUAAAUAUAAGUAGGUAAUAGGUAAUACCUAUUGCUUGACAAAUAAAAAAAUAUAUAUAUAUAUUUCACUAUAUUUCUCAUUUUUGCCUAUGUAGGAGAUCCCUGUUUAUUAUUAUUAUAAUUCUAAUGAUGACAUGAGUAAUGAUACAUGGUGAUAUUAUUAAUACACAUGCUUAUUCUUUCUCUGUCUCUCUUUCUGCCCUACAGAUGGCUGAAAAAGGUGAACGCUGUAGCAGCAAAGUGUGGGACUACUUCUGCAAAGAUUCCUCUAAUGCAGUGUUCUGCAAUAUAUGUGCAGCUAAUGUAAGCCAGGGGUCUAUCAAAGCGAAGCAGAAAAACACUUCCAAUUUGUGGACUCAUCUGUAGCUAUACAUUUAACUUAUUUUAAUUUUAUUUUCAAUUCAUUGACAUGGUUUUGUGGAAUAUUGAAUUGGUUUGGUAUAGCUCUUUUACUUUAACUUUAGUAUUAUAAUUUAUUUACAGUACACACACAGACUGUUAAAACCAGCUUCAACUGGAAAACUGUUAAAUGUUUAAAACCAGACUGUUUUUUGAUCAUUAAAAAAUAUAUACUUUUGAUGUGCAAUUGUUUAGUCAUUGAGACUGUAAUCUAAGGCUUUUUUUAACAUAAUCCCUUCUGGAAAAUGGUUUUUAGGUUUGGUAUAGUCUCUUUUACUUUAACUUUAGUAUUAUAAUUAUUUACAGUACACACACAGACUGUUAAAACCAGCUUCAACUGGAAAACUGUUAAAUGUUUAAAACCAGACUGUUUUUUGAUCAUUUAAAAAAUAUAUACUUUUGAUGUGCAAUUGUUUAGUCAUUGAGACUGUAAUCUAAGGCUUUUUUUUAACAUAAUCCCUUCUGGAAAAUGGUUUAUACAGCCCACAUACAUAGAACAGGCAGAUAUUUUGCUGUUGAAUGUUGUGUAAGUGUAGUUUAUAGGAAAUGGGUCUAAUAUCCAGUUUAUUUUCAAAAUCAAAAUUAUCGGCUUAUAAAUCGGCUCUUUUCGAGUUAAUAUCGGCAUCGGCAUCGGCCCCCAAAAAUCCAUAUCGGUCGGGCUCUAUGCUCAUGAAGUGACUCAGUUCUAGAGAUUAUGUUUAUGUGUUCAUGUACUCAUAUAUUGAUGCGGCAUAGGCUGAAAACACCACAAGCUUCAGGAGGCCUAUGUGUAGUAAAUGAAACCGCAUGUCUGCGCCAUUAAUUUCUACAAGGGGGGGACUGGGAAAAAAAAAAUAUCAGACCGGGUUAAAUCUUUAGGUUGGAGACAUGCAAAAUAAUUAAAAGUUCUCUCCUGAACUGCACCUUCACUUCCAUUUUUCUUUUCAUUCUCUUUAUUUUGCACUGAUAUCUCUCUCUCUCAUGACUUUAAUACUCAAGAUUUAACAAAACUAUACUUUCUAAAUUGCCUACAUGUCAAAAUCAGUACAUCACUACAAUAUCUUUAUAGAAAAAUCCUAAUACUGAACAUGAGUCAUGUUUUCCCUUACAAAAAUUAGCCAUGCUUUUAUUAUAGUAAAAGUACAGUAACCAUGUUCUUUUUUUUUGGCAAAUGGAUUACCAUUUGUAUUAUUUUUUACUACAAAUUCCAUGGUUGGUGUAGCAAAAACCAUGGUGAAUUUGUGGUUACCAUGGUUUAAUAGUAACCAUUGUCUUUGGAUUUAUAGUAAAAUCAUUGUUAAUUUUCGUAAGGCUUGUGUUGUUGUCUGCCCUAGCUCCCCCUAAACCUAUUAUAAAAUAUUAUUUUUCUUCUAAAUUACUACUGUAACAUUACAAUAGAUAAUAAUAAUGUUGUUUAUACAGUAGACAUGUGCCGAUAUUCGGUAAUGCGAUAUAUCGCGGUAAUGAAUAUGCACGGUAUUGUUAUUGUGGGCACUUCUAAAUACCGAGAAUAAUUAUAUAUUACAAAUUAUUCCGAAUUUGGAAUACAAUUUAAGUAUACUUUUCCCAUCAGCUGGUCAAAAUGCACAACACCGCUGUAUGCUGCUUUAAAGACUCGUGUGCGCUCUGAUGUAAACAAGCAUGCACGAGAAGCACAUGGAGAAACACGUGAGAGACGUGCUGAAUGAAAGCACAUUCACUCUCUGACAGCAGAUGGCGCUAAACUGCAGAAAAUGCAGCCCUUACCUGGAAACCCCAUUAAUAAAAGCAGCUGCUACUUCUAAACAUUAAUAAUAUAAAUAAUAAGUAGUCAUUUAGAUUUGUGUUUUCGCUAUGGUGUUCAUCACAGAACC
rnacentral:lncRNA from 1 species